rnacentral:lncRNA from 1 species
UUGGCUGUACAGAACUGUUUCAGCAAGCACUUUUCAGCAGCAAAUUUUCAUCAUUUUGGACCAGCAUUUUGUGAUACAGCAGCCACACUUGGCUUCUUUGAAUUGUAACCUUUGUUACUUUUAAUUUGGCUUGAUAUCAUGGAACAUUUGGGUGCAAUUUUCUUUCAAUUUUGAAACUUGAGUGGCUUGGGAAAAUGCUUUGCUAGCAAUUCCAAGUUCACCACUAAACAUUGUAAUAGUCUAGUUCCCACAACUUAGUGUGAAAGUGUGUCAAGGGGCUCCAAGUGUCACUUGCACUUUCACUUAGGGCCGUGUCUCAUUCCUUCUUUUCAUUUGCAUUCUUUCUUUUAUUCUUGCUUGUUGAUAUUUUUGUUUUACGUCUCCAUGAUAUCUAGG